rnacentral:rRNA from 1 species
UAUGGUGACUAUAGCGACAGUGUCCACCUCUUCCCAUUCCGAACAGAGAAGUUAAGCCUGUCAGCGCCGAUGAUACUGCAGUAAGAUGUGGGAAAGUAGGUCGUCGCCAACC